rnacentral:rRNA from 1 species
AUACAGAGGGUGCGAGCGUUAAUCGGAAUUACUGGGCGUAAAGCGCGCGUAGGCGGUCUAUUAAGUCAGAUGUGAAAUCCCAGGGCUCAACCUUGGAACUGCAUCUGAUACUGGUAGACUAGAGUUUUGGAGAGGGAAGUAGAAUUUCAGGUGUAGCGGUGAAAUGCAUAGAGAUCUGAAGGAAUACCAGUGGCGAAGGUGACUUCCUGGCCAAAAACUGACGCUGAGGUGCGAAAGCGUGGGUAGCAAACGGGAUUAGAAACCCGAGUAGUCC